CUUGUUAGAAAACCUCAGCUGAAUAAAACAUUCUUAACAACUUUGUAAAAAUCUUGGUAGUUGCGGAAACUUACUUUAAAAACAAUAGAGGUUACGUGAUGUUUUGAAUAACAGUAGUUGCUUUGGAAAAUCGUGUUCUAAUACUAGCAAUUAUAAGAACAAUAAAUAAAAUUCCAAAUUUGAAAUCCAGAAAAUUACAACGGCUUUACUACAACCCACAUAAAAUAAUUUAAAGGUAAUAAUCAAAACUGUAACAUAAACAGUGUGUGUGGCUUCCUCCGAGCCCCUAGCAACCCCGAUCCAUCUAAGGCUGGAAAUUACCUGAAAGGUUAAUAAACGGGGUGAGUUUACGAAAACUCAGUGUGAAAUCCCCUACUAUAAAAAGGAACAGUCAAUCAUCUAAAAGAAUUAAAAGUCUGGCCCCAGCCUUACUUACAAUUUCAGUACCAAUCGGGUCUUAGCCCAUUACAACAGACAGUACCAGAUGGACCUUAGCCCAUUACAGAAUAAGAAACAUUAUCAGAAUUGGAACCAAAAUGAGAAUCAGAAUCAGAAACAGUAACAGAAUUAGAAUCAGAAUCAAUAUUAGUAACAGAAUCAGAAUCAGAAUCAGAAUUAGGUGACAGAAUCAGAAUCAGAAUCAGUAACAGAAUCAAAAUCAGAAUCAGUAUUAGUAACAGAAUCAGAAUCAGAAUCAAAAUUACGUGACAGAAUCAGAAUCAGAAUGUGAAUGCAAUCGCAACCCAAUCCAGCCGUAUACACCCUCGUACCAACCUUACACCAUGUGGGGAGACAACUCGACCCACCCAUCCGCUACACACCACAGAAUUCGCAGCAUGGCUGCCAGAACAGAUAUUGGGACAGAGUCACCAGAUACAGAUAUUGUGGCAGAGCCACCAGAAUCAGAUAAUGUGGCAAACCCACCUAACAGAAUACGUGGCACAAAGCCAUAGAUAACUGUAAUAACUUCGGCACAUAGCCAUCAGUGACGGUAAUAUAACUGGCGCACAGCCUUCGGUAAAUAUGAUCGACACAGAGUCGUCAACAAAUAUGUUAGGCACAUAACUACAGGUAAAUACGUUUGGCACGAAGCCAUAGUCAAGAUGGCACAAAGCCAUAUUUAGGUUGGCACAGAGCCAUUAAUAACGGGUCUAUAAUCGGCACGAAGCCCACAACAACGGCACACAGCCUUCGGUAGCGUGAUCGGCACUUAGCCAUCGAUCGGUCAACAGAUAUUGUGACAGAGUCACCAAAUACAGAUAUUGUGGCAGAGCCACCAGAACAGAUAUUUGUGGCAUAGCCACCAGAACGCUUUCUCCGUACAAAAUCCCAACCCAUGCAACAUGUCAUGCAUGCAGAAUGUCAUGCCCAUAUUUGAAUCAAACAAUCACAGUCAAGUCAUUCAUAUCACCAACAUAUAUUCACAAUCAAAUCCGUCAAACACACAGUCCAAGUCAGUCACUUGCCCACAAGGGCAAAAUAGUCAUUUAACACCCUAAGGGAAAAAUGGUAAUUUUAUCCCACAAGGGUAUCUUGGUAAUUCUACCCUACAGGGGUAUUUCGGUAUUUCUACCCUACAAGGGUAUUUCGAUAAUUCUACCCUAUAGGGGUAUUUUGGUAAUUCUAUCCUAUAAGGGUAUUUCAAUAAUUCUACCCUAUAGGGGUAUUUCGGAAAUUCUACCCUCAAGGGGUAUUUCAGUAAUUUCACAAUCAAGGGUAAAAUGGUAAUUCUAUAAAUCGAGGGUAAAACGAUAAUUUUGUAAACUGAGGGCCCGCAACAACGGCACACAGCCUUCAGUAGCGUGAUCGGCACUUAGCCAUCGAUCGGUCAACAGAUAUUAUGACAGAGUCACCAAAUACAGAUAUUGUGGCAGAGCCACCAGAACAGAUAUUUGUGGCAUAGCCACCAGAACGUUUUCUCCGUACAAAAUCCCAACCCAUGCAACAUGUCAUGCAUGCAGAAUGUCAUGCCCAUAUUUGAAUCAAACAAUCACAGUCAAGUCAUUCAUAUCACCAACAUAUAUUCACAAUCAAAUCCGUCAAACACACAGUCCAAGUCAGUCACUUGCCCACAAGGGCAAAAUAGUCAUUUAACACUCUAAGGGCAAAAUGAUAAUUUUAUCCCACAAGGGUAUCUCGGUAAUUCUACCCUACAGGGGUAUUUCGGUAUUUCUACCCUACAAGGGUAUUUCGAUAAUUCUACCCUACAGGGGUAUUUUGGUAAUUCUAUCCUAUAAGGGUAUUUCAGUAAUUCUACCCUAUAGGGGUAUUUCAAAAAUUCUACCCUACAGGGGUAUUUCAGUAAUUUCACAAUCAAGGGUAAAAUGGUAAUUCUAUAAAUCGAGGGUAAAACGAUAAUUUUGUAAACUGAGGGUAAACUAGUAAUUCUGUAAAUCAAGGGUAAAACAGUAAUUUUACAAAUCGAGGGUAAAACAGUAAUUCUGUAAAUCGAGGGUAAAACAGUAAUUCUGUAAACUAAGGGUAAAAUGGUAAUUCUAUAAAUCGAGGGUAAAAUAGUAAUUCUGUAAACUGAGGGUAAAACAGUAAUUCUAUAAAUCAAGGGUAAAAGGGUAAUUUUACAAAUCGAGGGUAAAACGGUAAUUCUAUAAAUCGAGGGUAAAACAAUAAUUCUAUAAACUGAGGGUAAAACGGUAAUUCUGUAAAUCGAGGGUAAAACGGUAAUUCUAUAAAUCGAGAGUACUUUGGUAAUUUUACAAGUCGAGGGCAUUUCAGUAAUUGGUAAACUAAAGUAUUCUAAACAUGGAUAACAAUACGAAUGGGCCUAAAGCCUAUUCUCAGCCCAAAUGGGCCCACACGCUCGUGUGGCCCUUUUAGCCCAAACCUAGCCACAGAUAUGCGAUUCACCUAGCCUAGUCCAAUAUUUACUACACAAUCAAACAACUUAUCCAAUUGGGCCCGUAGGCCUAUUGGGCCCACAUGGCCCCUUUCGGCCCAUCGCGACCCGAAGUAGCCAUCCAACAACAAGAGUAGUGAUAAAUACACACCUGAUUGGAGACUGGAGUUAACCCACGCUCCGAGCACUCUUAGCCGACGCCCAACCCAAACGAGCACGCCAUAAAGCGAAAGGGAUCAGCCAAGAAAGGU
rnacentral:lncRNA from 1 species